rnacentral:piRNA from 1 species
GUCCUGGAUGUCCAAGAGCACGUC